CUCUGGGACUGGCAGGUGAAAUCACUCUCGCCUGUCGUGGCUUCUGGCUUCUACCCAAAGACUCUUACUUUCAAGUGGAAAAGAUGCAAUAGUGCCCCUCUGAAGUCUGUCCAACAUCCUUUAGUUCAGAUUAACGACAAGUACACGGGAGUCAGUUUGAUCAAAGUAUCAAGAGCCGAUUAUUCAUCACAGAGUUUUCAUUGUUCUGUGACACACAGCGGAGAAACCCAAAGUGUGACCUUCAAACAGGCCCAGAUUCCUCCAAAGGUGACUUUAAUUUUUGUGCCAAAUGAAGACAAAUGGACCCUUGUGUGCACAGCAGAGGACUUUUCCCCAAAAACACUGUCAAUCAAAUGGAAGGAGAACACAAGGGAGCUUCACGGGAUCACUCAGUGGACCUCUGAGAAAACUAGAACAACAUACAAAGCUGUUAGCAUCCUGAAGGUUAACAACAACGACUGGGACAAUAAAGCUGUUUACAGCUGUGAGGUGACUCACGUGGAAAAACAUACACAAAGAAGACCUCUAAAAGCACCGACCACACUGACCCUGAACCCUCCAAGUCCCCAAAAACUGUUCAGAGAGAAAUUGGUGGAACUGGAGUGUACGAUCACUGGAGAGGACAACUCUGUCGUGUCAGAAUCUCACAUCAGUUGGAAGGUUGAUGGACAAAAUGUGACCCACGGGAUUUCACAAUCAAAACAUGAAGGCAACCAGUACAGCAAAACGAGCACACUGAUUUACAGUCCAGCUGAGUGGGUGGCGAUUAAAAAGGUGCGAUGUUCUGCCAUUAAAGAAGACAUGACACCACUUACUCAAGAUCUCACUGUCCACAAAGAAGGUGGGGUGGAGCCAAAGGUGACGGUCCAUAUCCUCCCAGAAAACGACAUCGGUUUACAUCCCUCAGAUCCUGUCACUCUGGUGUGUCUGGUCUCCAGUCCAGCUCUGCGUGAUUACUACAUCAGCUGGUCAAUAACAGAAUCUCAGUCCACAAACUACAUGGAUGGCGUCACCUUCCCCCCUCAGAAGACCCAAAGUGGAUACUCUGUUGUCAGCGUUUACACCACAACUGUCGAAAGGUGGCGCAAAGAGGACACCUUCAUUUGUAACGUCUGGCCUGUUGGCAGUGUUAACACCAUAAAAACAGCUGGAGUGUCCAAGUCGAAGGAAGAAGAAGUGUGCUUGGCUCUGAGCUGCACAGACGAUGACUUUGAAGAGGAUGAGUUCAGCAGCCUCUGGUCCACAACCUUCUGCUUCAUUUUCCUUUUCAUGUCUUCGCUUGUCUACAACGUGAUAUUCAGCCUGGUCAAGGUAAACCAACUGGCUUCUGCAGACAACUCAUCUCUUUGACUCUGUCCUGCUUUAAAAACACACAAAAAUGGAUUUCUGUGAUAUAACAGGACUCAUACAGCUUUCCACGUACUGG